UGGCCUUUUUCCGCUGGACGAACUUGGCGCCCCGGCCUUCUGGCGGUUAUUUUUGGGCACGGCUGUGCCCGCGGCCUAUUUUUGGCACACGGAGGCCCCUCGCAAAGUCUCGCGCCAUUCCUAGUCCGGCGGACGAAGUUGGCCAGCCCCACCCCCCAAGGGUAUAGCCCACCCGUUUUUGUGGCCUUUUUCCGCUGGACGAACUUGGCGCCCCGGCCUUCGGGCGGUUAUUUUUGGGCGCGGCUGUGCCCGCGGCCUAUUUUUUGCACACGGACGCACCUCAAAGAGUCUCGCGCCAUUCCGAGUCCGGCGGACGAAGUUAUCCAGCCCCACCCCCCAAGGCUAUAGCCCACCCGUUUUUGUGGCCUUUUUCCGCUGGACGAACUUGGCGCCCCGGCCUUCGGGCGGUAAUUUUUGGGCGCGGCUGUGCCCGCGGUCUAUUUUUGGCACACGGAGGCUCCUCGCAAAGUCUCGCGCCAUUCCGAGUCAGGCAGACGAAGUUGGCCAGCCCCACCCCCCAAGGAUAUAGCCCACCCGUUUUUGUGGCCUUUUUCCGCUGGACGAACUUGGCGCCCCGGCCUUCGGACGGUUAUUUUUGGGCGCGGCUGUGCCCGCGGCCUAUUUUUGGCACACGGAGGCUCCUCAUAAAGUCUCGCGCCAUUCCGAGUCCGGCAGACGAAGUUGGCCAGCCCCACCCCCCAAGGAUAUAGCCCACCCGUUUUUGUGGCCUUUUUCCGCUGGACGAACUUGGCGCCCCGGCCUUCGGGCGGUUAUUUUUGGGCGCGGCUGUGCCCGCGGCCUAUUUUUGGCA
rnacentral:lncRNA from 1 species